AUCUUUACUAAAUGAACAAAUAGUCCUCUUUACUAUAUGAACAUACUCCUACAGAUAUGAUUGUAUAAUCUUCUUCAUUAUGAACAGCUUUCCAUCAUCUAUCAGUAGUCAUGAUCAUUCGGAGAUAUCCCGGAUGACUGGAGACUUGCUAAUGUGACACCCAUCUAUAGGAAGGAUUGAAAAGAGGACCCGGGGAACUACAGGCCUGUCAGCCCUACCUUGGUGCCAGGAAAGGUGAUAGAACAGGUCAUCUUGAAUGCAAUCACACAGCAUGUGCAGGACAACUUGGGGAUCAGGCCCAGUCAGCAUGGGUUCAUGUACAGCAAGUCCUUUCUGACCAACUUCAUCUCCUUCUAUGACUGGGUGACAUGCCUAGUAGAUGAGGGAAAAGCUAUUGAUGUAGUCUACCUAGACUUCAGCAAAGCCUUUGACACGGUCUCCCACAGCAUUCUUCUGGCAGC